rnacentral:rRNA from 1 species
UGGUAAUGCCGGAUGUUCCACAUGAUCGCAUGUGAUUGUGGGAAAGAUUCUAUCGGCGUGGGAUGGGGUCGCGUCCUAUCAGCUUGUUGGUGAGGUAACGGCUCACCAAGGCUUCGACGGGUAGCCGGCCUGAGAGGGCGACCGGCCACAUUGGGACUGAGAUACGGCCCAGACUCCUACGGGAGGCAGCAGUGGGGAAUAUUGCACAAUGGGCGCAAGCCUGAUGCAGCGACGCCGCGUGAGGGAUGGAGGCCUUCGGGUUGUAAACCUCUUUUGUUUGGGAGCAAGCCUUCGGGUGAGUGUACCUUUCGAAUAAGCGCCGGCUAACUACGUGCCAGCAGCCGCGGUAAUACGUAGGGCGCAAGCGUUAUCCGGAUUUAUUGGGCGUAAAGGGCUUGUAGGCGGCUCGUCGCGUCCGGUGUGAAAGUCCAUCGCUUAACGGUGGAUCUGCGCCGGGUACGGGCGGGCUGGAGUGCGGUAGGGGAGACUGGAAUUCCCGGUGUAACGGUGGAAUGUGUAGAUAUCGGGAAAGAACACCA